GGUACAAUGACCUGCUUGGUUACCUUUACUUCACCGCUCUUGUUCAACCAUUACAAUCGGUAGGGGUUGGGAUGGGUGAUGCACAUCAGUCCCAGUCUUUCCACGAAUAGGGUGCUUAUUAUAUUGGCACAACUACCUCAAUCGAUGAUCACACUACACACUUUGUUGUUGACUAGGUAGUGUGUGUGGAAUAUGUUCUCCCAUUUUUCAUGGUCCUUACCCUUGAUUUGCAAGUUG
rnacentral:lncRNA from 1 species